rnacentral:rRNA from 1 species
UACCAGCACCCCGAGUGGUCGGGACGAUUAUUGGGCCUAAAGCAUCCGUAGCCUGUCCUGCAAGUCUUCCGUUAAAUCCACCUGCUUAACAGAUGGGCCGCGGAGGAUACUACAGGGCUAGGAGGCGGGAGAGGCAAACGGUACUCAGUGGGUAGGGGUAAAAUCCACUGAUCCACUGAAGACCACCAGUGGCGAAGGCGGUUUGCCAGAACGCGCUCGACGGUGAGGGAUGAAAGCGGGGGGAGCAAACCGG